rnacentral:rRNA from 1 species
AUUGAACGCUGGCGGCAGGCCUAACACAUGCAAGUCGAGCGGAUGAAGGGAGCUUGCUCCUGGAUACAGGGGGCGAGGGGUGAGUAAUGCCUAGGAAUCUGCCUGGUAGCGGGGGAUAACGUCCGGAAACGGGCGCUAAUACCGCAUACGUCCUGAGGGAGAAAGUGGGGGAUCUUCGGACCUUACGCUAUCACACGAGCCUAGGUCGGAUUAGCUAGUUGGUGGGGUAAAGGCCUACCAAGGCGACGAUCCGUAACUGGUCUGAGAGGAUGAUCAGUCACACUGGAACUGAGACACGGUCCAGACUCCUACGGGAGGCAGCAGUGGGGAAUAUUGGACAAUGGGCGAAAGCCUGAUCCAGCCAUACCGCGUGUGUGAAGAAGGUCUUCGGAUUGUAAAGCACUUUAAGUUGGGAGGAAGGGCAGUAAGUUAAUACCUUGCUGUUUUGACGUUACCAACAGAAUAAGCACCGGCUAACUUCGUG